UACGAAGGGGGCUAGCGUUGCUCGGAAUUACUGGGCGUAAAGGGCGCGUAGGCGGUCUGUCGCGUCGGAUGUGAAAACCCGGGGCUUAACCCCGGGCCUGCAUUCGAUACGGGCAGACUCGAGUGUGGUAGGGGAGACUGGAACUCCUGGUGUAGCGGUGAAAUGCGCAGAUAUCAGGAAGAACACCGGUGGCGAAGGCGGGUCUCUGGGCCACUACUGACGCUGAGGAGCGAAAGCGUGGGGAGCGAACAGG
rnacentral:rRNA from 1 species